rnacentral:rRNA from 1 species
GACGAACGCUGGCGGCGUGCUUAACACAUGCAAGUCGAACGGAAAGGCCCUGCUUUUGUGGGGUGCUCGAGUGGCGAACGGGUGAGUAACACGUGAGUAACCUGCCCUUGACUUUGGGAUAACUUCAGGAAACUGGGGCUAAUACCGGAUAGGAGCUCCUGCUGCAUGGUGGGGGUUGGAAAGUUUCGGCGGUUGGGGAUGGACUCGCGGCUUAUCAGCUUGUUUGUUGGGUAGUGGCUUACCAAGGCUUUGACGGGUAGCCGGCCUGAGAGGGUGACCGGCCACAUUGGGACUGAGAUACGGCGCAGACUGCAACGGGAGGCAGCAGUGGGGAAUCUUGCACAAUGGGCGGAAGCCUGAUGCAGCAACGCCGCGUGCGGGAUGACGGCCUUCGGGUUGUAAACCGCUUUCGCCUGUGACGAAGCGUGAGUGACGGUAAUGGGUAAAGAAGCACCGGCUAACUACGUG